AGCAGUGCUCGUCUCAAAGAUUAAGCCAUGCAUGUGUAAGUAUAAAUAUUUAACUUUGAAACUGCGAAUGGCUCAUUAUAUCAGUUAUAGUUUAUUUGAUGAAAUGUACUACUUGGAUAACCGUAGUAAUUCUAGAGCUAAUACAUGAUAAAAUCCUCGACUUUGAAGAGUGUUAUUUAUUAGAAUGAAACCAAUAGACUUCGGUCUGUUUGUGAGUAAUAAUAACUAAUCGUAUCGCAUGCUUAGGUAGCGAUAUGUCUUUCAAGUUUCUGCCCUAUCAGCUUUGGAUGGUAGUGUAUUGGACUACCAUGGCAGUAACGGGUAACGAAGAAUUUGGGUUCGAUUUCGGAGAGGGAGCCUGAGAGAUGGCUACCACAUCCAAGGAAGGCAGCAGGCGCGUAAAUUACCCAAUCCUGACAUAGGGAGGUAGUGACAAUAAAUCACAAUGCGGAACUAUUAGUUUUCGCAAUUGGAUUGAGAACAAUGUACAAAUGUUAUCGAUAAACAAUUGGAGGGCAAGUCUGGUGCCAGCAGCCGCGGUAAUUCCAGCUCCAGG
rnacentral:rRNA from 1 species